rnacentral:rRNA from 1 species
GAUGAACGCUGGCGGCGUGCCUAAUACAUGCAAGUAGAACGCUGAAGGAAGGAGCUUGCUCUUUCCGGAUGAGUUGCGAACGGGUGAGUAACGCGUAGGUAACCUGCCUGGUAGCGGGGGAUAACUAUUGGAAACGAUAGCUAAUACCGCAUAACAGUAGAUGUUGCAUGAUAUCUACUUAAAAGGUGCAAUUGCACCACUACCAGAUGGACCUGCGUUGUAUUAGCUAGUUGGUGAGGUAACGGCUCACCAAGGCGACGAUACAUAGCCGACCUGAGAGGGUGAUCGGCCACACUGGGACUGAGACACGGCCCAGACUUCUACGGGAGGCAGCAGUAGGGAAUCUUCGGCAAUGGACGGAAGGCUGACCGAGCAACGCCGCGGGAGUGAAGAAGGUUUUCGGAUCGUAAAGCUCUGUUGUAAGAGAAGAACGAGUGUGAGAGUGGAAAGUUCACACUGUGACGGUAUCUUACCAGAAAGGGACGGCUAACUACGUG